rnacentral:rRNA from 1 species
CCUACGGGGGGCAGCAGUGAGGAAUAUUGGUCAAUGGGCGCAAGCCUGAACCAGCCAAGUCGCGUGAGGGAUGACGGUCCUAUGGAUUGUAAACCUCUUUUGUCGGGGAGCAAGGCCCGCCACGUGUGGCGGGAAGGAGAGUACCCGAAAAAAAAGCAUCGGCUAACUCCGUGCCAGAAGCCGCGGUAAUACGGAGGUUGCGAGCUUUAUCCGGUUUAUUUGGGUUUAAAGGGUGCGUAGGCGGAAGGUUAAGUCAGCGGUAAAAUGUCGGUGCCCAACACCGGCCUGCCGUUGAAACUGGUCUUCUUGAGUGAGCGCGAAGGAUGCGGAAUGCGUGGUGUAGCGGUGAAAUGCAUAGAUAUCACGCAGAACUCCGAUUGCGAAGGCAGCAUACCGGCGCUCAACUGACGCUGAGGCACGAAAGCGUGGGGAUCGAACAGGAUUAGAUACCCGAGUAGUC